UUGAUUUUUCUUACCAGACGUUCUAUCUUUUGCACCGUCUCAAUGUCACUGGAGAAGCAUGUCUCUUCAAGCCAAGAAUUGAACCAGAUGUUAUAGGUGCUGCGAAGAACUUGGUUUCAAAACAGAUAUAUCAUUUGUGGAAGGGAAAGCAAGAAACGCUGACUUUUUCCGAGUGGUGUGAGUGGGAGCUGAGCAUAUCAAUUGCAGAUGAUUUCCUUCCAGAUACUGACAGGCGUAUCUAUCACCAAUACAGAGUGCUGGACCAUUAUCUUCCCCUGGGAUCCCAGGAGGGUGGAUGCGACGGCUCCGCAAGGAAGGCGUGUUCUGUUAUUUUUGGAGUUCUCCUUAGCAGGUGACAUGACAC